AUGGUGAAUUGUAACAUCCUGAUUUGUGGUAUAUGUUGAAAAACUUAAGAAAAUUUUUUGGCUACCAAUGUCACCAAGUGCACUUACCUUUUCGGUUAAACUCCCGAAUGAACUUUAGAGUUAAGUAUGCUUGAGCUUUAAUAAUGGAAAGAUGUGUAACCUAUCGGGAAUUGAUUUGCACGACUGAGGCCAAAGCACGGAGAAAGAUCAUAUGAUAAUGACAGGGUUAGUAAACAAGACUCUCAAACCUCCCAAAAACUAAUGCACUACUCGUCGCACGGAAUAGAGUCCACGGAUCGAAUGAACAGGCAUAAAAAAAUCAUUAGCUAUGGAUGGUCGAAGCGUUACAAGUCAGAUCGGAUUUGACUAUCAAUGACUUUAAACACAAGCCAGCUUAGUAUAGAUGAGAACACUCACGGAAUAGGAACUUCUUAAUCAUAUUUACGCCAAAAAGAUGAAAAUGCACACAAAAAUAGAAAGAUCCCAAAAAUAAAGACGCAAAAUGUUUCAAUGAAAUAACAUAAAUUU
rnacentral:lncRNA from 1 species